CGGACCGUAGCGCAGCCCGGUAGCGUGCCACCAUGGGGCGGUGGAGGUCGCAGGUUCAAAUCCUGUCGGUCCGACCA
rnacentral:tRNA from 1 species